rnacentral:rRNA from 1 species
GUCUAUGGCUAUGCCACCCUGAACAAGCCCAAUGUCUGAUCUCGGAAGCUAAGCAGAGUUGGGCCUGGUUAGUACUUAGAUGGGAGACCACCUAGGAAGACCAGGUGCUGUAGGCA